GAUGAACGCUAGCGGCAGGCCUAACACAUGCAAGUCGAGGGGCAGCGAGGAGUAGCAAUAUUCUGUCGGCGACCGGCGCACGGGUGCGUAACGCGUAUGCGACCUACCUAUAACAGGGGGAUAACCCAGAGAACUUUGGACUAAUACCCCAUAUUAUUAUUGAGCUGCAUGGUUUGAUAAUGAAAGACGCGAGUUGGUUAUAGAUGGGCAUGCGUGACAUAGCUAGUUGGUAAGGUAACGGCUUACCAAGGCGACGAUGUCUAGGGGAGCUGAGAGGUUAAUCCCGCACACUGGUACUGAGACACGGACCAGACUCCUAAGAGAGGCAGCAGUGAUGAAUAUUGGUCAAUGGUCGGAAGACUGAACCAGCCAUGCCGCGUGGAGGAUGACGGUCCUAUGGAUUGUAAACUUCUUUUGUAAGGGAGCAAUAAGUUCCAUGCGUAGGAUGAUGAGAGUACCUUACGAAUAAGCAUCGGCUAACUCCGUGCCAGCAGCCGCAGUAAUAC
rnacentral:rRNA from 1 species